UACACGUGAGUUCACGGAAACGCGCAAGGGUCUCUUCAACAGGUUAAAAGUGUAUGGGGAGAGAUCCCUUAAAGGGUAUUUGCGGGAAAUUUGGAGGUUAAACCCGCCCAAAAGGGUGUAUAAAUUUGGUGUAUAAAUGCCGGUUUUUGAGUUAAAACCAAGGGGUUUGGCCCUAUAAGUUUAAUCUAGAUAAAGGGGUUCCCUACAGAGUUAAUUUUGGAGGGAAGCCGGGUUUGUGUUUGUCCCAUUUAAUUUAUAAACCGGUUUUUGAAGGGUUUGGGGUUUCCCGGGAAAGGGGAAAUUGGGGUUUUUUUCCGGGAGAAAUCCCUUAAAAAGGGUUUUUCCUUCCAAGGAAGGCGCCGGGGCGGAAAAUUUCCCCUUUCCGGGGGGGGGGGGGGGGGGGGGGAAAGGCCAAUUUCCCUUUUUUUUGGGGGGGACCCUUGGAAGGGUUUAAUUUUAAAUCCCUUAAGAGUUUCCAAGGGAGGGGCAAUUUGGGGCCCGCCGGCCCGGGAAAUUCCGGUUUCCUAUUGCCCUUAAAUUGCGUUUCGGGUUAAAAAUUUGGUGUUUCCAAGGUUCGGGAUGAGGAGGGUUUAAUUUAUUGUUAAUACUAUUUCUACCGUUAAGAGUUUAUAUGGUUAAUACCCAUAUAACUCAGUUACUUUGAGUAAAUCAGAGUGCUUAGAACAAGCGUAUUGCUUGAAUGGUUGUGCAUGGAAUAACAAUACAAUGCAUUGAUAUUUGUUUUGUUGGUUUUAAUGUCAAUGAAUGAUUAAAAGGAACAAACGGGGGCAAAAGUAUCAUAAGGCGAGAGGUAAAUUUCGUGACCCUGANC
rnacentral:rRNA from 1 species